UCCUAGGUGGCUCAGUGGUAAAGCAUCUACCUGCCAAGCAGGAGACUUGGGUUCAAUCCCUGGAUUGAGAA
rnacentral:tRNA from 1 species